rnacentral:lncRNA from 1 species
CAAUUAGAAUUAAAAACCAAUUGUUCAGAGAACCAUUGAUGGUCUUUCCACCACUUACAACAUAUUUUGAUGUGAAAAUAUUAAAAAUUCAGUUGAUAUGUCAGUUCCUAUGACUUUAUGAUGUCUAAAUAUGAAUUUGGAGCAAAGGUCAAAAUCUAGAACGUCCAAUUAACCUAUGACCUUGACCUCAAUUUCAAGGUCAUAGACUAAGGAUCUCAAACCUAAAGACACUAGUUCCUUAAUAUGUAUGGUUCAUGAGUAAUAUCACUUUACGCUUAAUUCUAAACAUAAGAGGGGCGAAAACUCCCAUUUAUUGUCUACGCACCCUUUCAAACAAAAUUUAUAAGUUACGACAUGUCGCAACUAACAGUUUAGUAAAAAUAAUUUGUCGAUAAGUUAUACGGCUUUUGAAAAUAAGUGAAAAUGAGCCAAAAUCAAAAUUUAUAAUAUGACCUUGACCUUUGACCUUGACCUUAUUUUCAUUUUUUUGGACCAAGGAUCUCAAAUCAAAAGACCCUAGGUCUCUAUCACUUAUGGUUUACCAGUUAGAAAUGCAUAGUCUUAUAUCAAACAUAAAAGGGGGGAUAACUCUCAUAUGGAAUCUAUAUACGGCUUCGGUCAAAAUAAAACAGCACAUCCUGAGGAUAUAACGAGCAAUUUCGAAAAAUAAAUUUGUCGGUUUCUUAUACGGUUGCGAAGCCUUAGAGAUAACAAGGAAAACAGUGUUCGGGGAGAUAACUCUUACAAGGGAAAGUAUUCGGUUAAGCAGAGUUGGUUUCAAAAGCGUAUAAACUGUUCGAUAUCAUAUUCCAAAAAUCUAAGCGACAUCUUGCGAAACAAAAAAACAGCGAAGGAAAUAAAUUAGGCGGAAGAAAAAAAAAAAAAAAAAUAAUAAUUAAAAAC